UUGACGGGACCCGCACAAGCAGCGGAGCGUGUGGUUUAAUUCGUUGCUACACGAAGAACCUUACCUGGGUUUGACAUAUAGGUUGUAGGGAACUGAAAAGGGACCGACCCUUCGGGGAGCCUAUACAGGUGUUGCAUGGCUGUCGUCAGCUCGUGUCGUGAGAUGUUCGGUUAAGUCCGCUAACGAGCGCAACCCUCGUCGUAUGUUAUAUGUGUCAUACGAGACUGCCGGUAAAAGCCGGAGGAAGGUGAGGAUGAUGUCAAGUCAGCAUGACCUUUAUAUCCAGGGCUACACACACGCUACAAUGGUCUGUACAAUGGGUAGCCAAGCCGCGAGGCGGAGCCAAUCCUGAAAGCAGGCCUCAGUUCAGAUUGCAGUCUGCAACUCGACUGCAUGAAGCCGGAGUUGCUAGUAACCGCAGGUCAGCAAUACUGCGGUGAAUACGUUCCCGGGUCUU
rnacentral:rRNA from 1 species